rnacentral:rRNA from 1 species
UACGGAGGGUGCAAGCGUUGUUCGGAAUUAUUGGGCGUAAAGCGCGUGUAGGCGGCCUGUUAAGUCGGUUGUGAAAACCCACGGCUCAACCGUGGAAGUGCGUCCGAAACUGGCAGGCUGGAGUCCCGAAGAGGAUGGCGGAAUUCCCAGUGUAGAGGUGAAAUUCGUAGAUAUUGGGAGGAACAUCGGUGGCGAAGGCGGCCAUCUGGGAGGGUACUGACGCUGAGACGCGAAAGCGUGGGGAGCAAACAGG